GCCCGAGCAGGCAGGCACCAGAAGAGCUAGCAGCCAAUCCGGCCAUGCUCGAAGCCAGCUCUGCAGCUCAGCCAAUCAGUGACAUCAUUGCUUUCUUUAGCUUGCCCAUGGUGAUGUGAAGAUGAGAAGAAAUAGCAAGGCCCAACCAGUUCUUCAUCUGGAGACAGUUCAACGUUCUGCAAACCAGGAGCUCUUUCUGAGAUGAAGAGAAUUCUCAAUGUCAAGAUUUGAACAAGAAGAGAAUGGAAUACACAAUAUGGACAUCCAUAAAAAUUCAUCAGAGAGCAUUUUACUACUGAGCUGCAAAGGUAGGAAAAAUAAAUUUUUUUUGGUUAGAAAAUAUACUUCUUUCAUCUGCGUUUCAAUAAUUUAUUCCCCUUGUUAGAUAUACAUGGAAUUGAUAUUGCUUAUUCUGACUAAGUGAAAAGUGUUAUUUCUACUUACUGCUCAAUUAGAAACAUGUAGUGUUUAAUUGUCAGUUUGAAUUUUUCUUUCAUACUAUUACAGUUUAUAUUUUACUAUAGGCAGAAUUUCCUCUUUAUCCUAAAUUUUGAUAUUCUCCAUAAUUUCAUCGUGCCUUGACAUUGCUGUAUAUAAUUUCUAUACAUCAGGAAGGCAAUUCUGUGUGCAUGUGUGUGUGUAUAUAUAUAGUUAGAAGUUAGAAACUGAAACUCUUUUUUGUCUACCAUCAUUUCAUAUUUUUCUUGCUAUUUCAAACCUAUAAUUUUUAAAGAAACGACUAACGUAAUCAUUCAUAGAAUAUGCUGUCAGUAACUUAACAAUAUAAAUGUUAACAUGGAGGCAUUUAGUUCAGCAUUUGCUUUACUUAAUAGAGUGCAGAAAAUGUGGCCCUUUUCUCAGUUAGGGUGUAUGUGAAGAUAAAUUUAGAAUUUCUAGACUAGUAAAUACUUCUCUGAUAAUAACUUAAUUAUAGCUAUUUCAAACCAAAUUGUUUAAUUGUGGUGAAUCAUAUGUAAAUUGUUCAGAUGUAGGUCAACACCCACGCCCACAUUCUAGCACCUCUUUCCUAAUUCAAGACAACUUUGCAGUGCCUAAAAGAGCUGAACAGUGCAGAUUAGAGACAUAAGACAAAAAAAAAAAAAAAACACAAAACAA
rnacentral:lncRNA from 1 species